rnacentral:rRNA from 1 species
UCUUUUCCUUUUUUUCCAGCAGCCGCGGUAAUACGUAGGGGGCAAGCGUUAUCCGGAUUUACUGGGUGUAAAGGGAGCGUAGACGGCAUGGCAAGCCAGAUGUGAAAGCCCGGGGCUCAACCCCGGGACUGCAUUUGGAACUGUCAGGCUAGAGUGUCGGAGAGGAAAGCGGAAUUCCUAGUGUAGCGGUGAAAUGCGUAGAUAUUAGGAGGAACACCAGUGGCGAAGGCGGCUUUCUGGACGAUGACUGACGUUGAGGCUCGAAAGCGUGGGGAGCAAACAGG